ACGUGGGUAACCUAUCUAUAAGACUGGGAUAACUUCGGGAAACCGGAGCUAAUACCGGAUAACAUUUGGAACCGCAUGGCUCUAAAGUGAAAGAUGGUUUUGCUAUCACUUAUAGAUGGACCCGCGCCGUAUUAGCUAGUUGGUAAGGUAACGGCUUACCAAGGCAACGAUACGUAGCCGACCUGAGAGGGUGAUCGGCCACACUGGAACUGAGACCGGUCCAGACUCCUACGGGAGGCAGCAGUAGGGAAUCUUCCGCAGUGGGCGAAAGCCUGACGGAGCAACGCCGCGUGAGUGAUGAAGGGUUUCGGCUCGUAAAACUCUGUUAUUAGGGAAGAACAAAUGUGUAAGUAACUGUGCACGUCUUGACGGU
rnacentral:rRNA from 1 species